rnacentral:rRNA from 1 species
ACGGAGGAUCCAAGCGUUAUCCGGAAUCAUUGGGUUUAAAGGGUCCGUAGGUUGAUAAUUAAGUCAGAGGUGAAAUCUUACAGCUCAACUGUAAAAUUGCCUUUGAUACUGGUUAUCUUGAGUUAUUAUGAAGUAGUUAGAAUAUGUAGUGUAGCGGUGAAAUGCAUAGAUAUUACAUAGAAUACCAAUUGCGAAGGCAGAUUACUAAUAAUCAACUGACACUGAUGGACGAAAGCGUGGGUAGCGAACAGG